UUUCUAUUAACAAGAAAUGCACUAAGAAAAUAUUACUAGGCAUCAAUACCACACUGAGAACUGUGCAGUUUAAUCCCUUUCCUCCUACACUGUCCUUAAUUCAAAUAGUUUUUUUAUAUUUAGUAAUUUUGACAACAGUCAUUAAUAAGCAUCAUCUGAACCAGUUAUGGGUGUAUUAACUAGGAGGAGGCUGGAAGGUCUGGAUUUUCCUGCCUAGCUUUGUGAUUGCUGUUUGUUACGGAGAAUAUUAUUGUUUGCUGCUUUGGACAGACUAAGAGGCAGCACCUCCUGUCUCUAUAACAGCCUUCAGUCUCUCUCCUUGUAUGGAUUUCCAAAAACAAGGGAGAGAAGGGAAUAACAUUUUUGUGAUGUCUAGUAUCUGUUUAACCCAGCAUGUUACGCAAAGCUGAACUUUACAGAAAGUUUCAUGGAUGUCUCCAGAAGGAAGACAUUUGAAAUCAGAUAUACAGAAGAUGCUGGAAGCAUUCAAGUCUUCACAGAGAUGUACCACCACAGCAGGGUGACUGCAAAUUGGGUUUCUUCUCCCAUAUCUACUGGUGAUGUCCAGAGAUUUCUUAGGACCUUGCUCUCCUUGGUUUGGUCUAAUCUUGUAACCUUUUCAUACAGUGCUCUAAGUGAAGAGCUAUUUAGAGACUGUUGUUAUUUACAGCUAGAUAUUAUUUACAGCCUGUUUAUACAAAUCUUAACCUGAUAUAUUUCUCCGUAGAAUAGAUUCUUUAGGACAAAUUCCACAUGCCCUUGCCAUGUCUGAAGCAGAGUACUAGCUUUAUUUAAGUCAUUUAAGCAUUAUUAUACUUCUCUUUUCUGUACAAGCAGAAAACAUCUAAUGUCGAUAUUUCUUCUUACAGAAGGUGCUGUAUGGGAAAAAAAGGAGAGAGACUAUGAUGAAAUUGUCUGAAGAGACAAGCGAAAAUAAAACAGCUUAUGUCAAGCACUGAGGUUUGUAAUAAGUGAUGUGCCGACAACAGACACCUUCACUAAGGGAAAGAGAAACCUAAAAGAUAAACAUAAAAAAAAUUACAGGCACAUUUUCCAAGCUGCUUCACUUUUUAUUUCUUUUCACGGAAGCUAGGUGACCCAAUCCUUCACAGUGCUUGCGCCACACUUAAACAUUGCAGCUGUUACAGAUAAUAUAACCUUUAAUUUUGUACUGAACAAUACCAAACUAAACAAAAGUAUCCUUGCUCUAGCAAAGAGCUGGGUCAAAGUGGUUCCACUGCUAAGUGUAGACUAGGUAAUUUGUACUCUGGCACAGAAGUUCAAUCUAGGCUUCAACACCAAUAGCAUAUCCACAUGACUCUCAUGCAGCAGGCUCUUAACAUGAUUCCAGUACUACCAGAGGAACCACAAUGGGCUUUUCUAACAGUCAAAUGAUUUAUUAACCAUUUUUAAUGUUCUGCUCUUCUAUUUGAUUUUCUGGUGGGUGUAAUCUCCAUAUCCAAGCAGUUUUGAGGCAAAUAGCCAAAACUAAUUGAGUUCAUCUAGGAUGAAAAUAAAAUGGCACAUUCCAUACUCUCAACAGAUGCUUUCUGUUUAAAAACAUCUCCAGCCAGCAUAUAUAUGGAAGGUACACAAACAGAAUGGUAUGAGGACUUAGAUAUUACACCUGGAUUUUACAGAGAACUCUAAAAAAUAGGGGAUAUACAGAGAAGUUGUAUGAAAGGCUAUAAAGCUAUAGGUACUGGGAGUUGAAGCAGAAAACAUUAGAUCAUAGUUUUUCUGACAUUCUCACUGCUCUCACUCUGACUGCUGUUCCCAAUCUGCUCUUGCAAUGUAAGGGUAGCCUACUCACUGCAGAUUCACAGUGAGACUCAACUACAUUGUGCUUUCCUUGUGCCUCUCUUUACCUAGAUACAGAGCAGCUCUACAGCAAACCCGUGCCCUCUAGCUUAUUAAAUCACUCAUAAAGUACAGCCCCUCAGGUGAUACUACAGAUGUUGAAACAGAUAUAAGGGUUGUAAAGGAUACUAGAAUUUGGGGACUGCUGUGGGCAUUCAAUUGAAGCAAAUAAUCAGUGGGCUCAAGUAACUACACUCUGCCAGUGCAGCCAAUAUAUCAUGGCAAAACACUGAGCUGUAUGAAUGCUGGGAUCUUCAAUCAGAUAUUGCUCAUUUAAAAAUGGAGCUGUGCAACAGUGGCCCUAUCUCUUGUACUCAUUUUUCUUGGAGCAGCAGUAUGACAUUUCAAAAGAUGAGAAGUACCUUUCAGCUUGAAUAAACUCAGAAAUCUAUCUGUAAACACAUUUGGCCUCAUCUUGAGAAAUGUCAGAUUUCUGGAAUGAACAGCAUGGGUAAAAUAUUUGUGUCAGUAUUUAAACAGCCACAUGUAGGAGAGCAGGCAGGGUUGCAACAUUUUAUAUUGCACUUUUUUGCAAAUACAAUAGCUAUAGGAAGAAAUGCACAUUACGCCCAACAUCUUUGUCCUGCUGUAGCAAAGAGUCUAUAGUGGGAGGGAAAACUUCUUUCACCUCCUUCUCUGCCUCAUUGUAAUCAGGUCUCUGACUUGCUGGGUUUCCGUGGAGGAAUCCUUCCUGACACUAGAUGACAAUCGCUGUGUUCAUUCAUUAUUGUUAUUCAUUGUUGGGGUUCCAGUAUUGUCACCUGAAAUCAAGUCCUUGUUGUGCUGAGCAUUAUAUACAGAAAAUGGCAGUUCCUGCUCUGAAGAGCUUGCAGUCCAGAGAGGCAAAACAAAUGUGAAGUGAACGACAGCCUACAAACAUUAGCGCCAUGGCUUGAUUUGUGUGUGUGUUUACAGCAGUGUUUUUCAGCCUAUGGUUUGUGAGCCCCAGAGGGUAGUGGUCUAUAGGGGAUCAAGAAAGGUAACUAAGGAGAAAAAAAAAAAAGGCUCAACUUCACCUCACACAAAUCUCUGCUUCCUCUGGAAAGUGUUUAGGGCCUCUAUACUGAAAACACUGAAAAUCAUUGUAUAUGGGUUGCUGCAAUCAAGCCUGUCAUCUGUAACACCCUGAGACACAUCAGCUUACAUAUCUGGUUACUGCUUUAUAGGCUCAUACACCAGUCUCACCCCACCUGGUUUCCACUCCAAGUAGUGCAGCAUGGAGUAGAGAAGACCAAGCAAUGUUCUGUACCUCCAGGCUUGCCACACCAUGAGAUCCCAUGCUCAGAGAAGCCUUUUACAGAUUUCAGAGCAGCUCACACACACCAGAGCCCCUCAAUCUGCCAUAGCAUCCUCACCUCCCUUCUUCUUGUGCAGGAUUUACUCCCAGGAAAAUAAGCCCCCCCACAUCUUGAGUUUUCAAAUGGAAAGAACUUAAGCUCUCCUUAGCACUUGCUUGCCUUCUUCCUCUGAUGGAGGGACCAGACAGGGAAAUACCUACCAGCAAAUAGCAGUUCACCUAGCAGUAGCUAUCAAGUUAACCUGCUUGAAGAAUACUCAAUUGCAUAAGAACCUGUCUGUCUUAAGACUCCUAGAGACCAUGAACUUUGGCAAAAGGUCUGACUGUUACCAGAGAUGGCAUUCCCUGACUACUGCAUGCAAGAGAGCCACUUGCACACGGAGGAGAAGCACUUGGCUUCUGAGCUCAGGUUGUUUAUUAAAGCCAAGGAACCUUGCUGGUUGUGGAUUAGCCCUCCAAACUGCAUGUGGUACUCUGCUGUAUUUUUCAUACAGCAAUUCAUUCUCUUACAAUUUUUCAGAGAAUAAAAUUUUCACUGACCCAAUAAAAUAUGCUAAAAUUGCUUAUAAUGGCACUGCUUAGGAUUAGGUAGGAAGCCAUUAUAUCAUAAUUUACAGAGCUAUUGGCCAGUAUUGAGCAUGCAUAUUGUAAACUAUAAUGAAAUGGAGAAAAAUCACUUUCAGAUGUAUUUUCACUCUGUAUUUUGUAAUCACAACAAUAUAUCAACCUUUCUAAUAUUCUUUUCUCAUGAUUGAGUGGACCUAUUUGGCUUGUUAUUGCACACACGUAAAUCUUACAAUAUCAUUUGGCAACUGUUAUGUUCAAGCUGGAAUGCUCUUAUUUCUGAUCUCUCUGCUUCUUCCCUUAAAAUAUCACCUUGUGCUAAGGCUGAGGAGCAAUUAAAGAUGACACAUGAGAAAUCUGCAUCCACUCUGAGAACAUAAGAACAUUCCUACUUCCCCACAACACCUACUUUGCCUUAUGGCCAGAGUCGUCGGGCUUUUUAUUCUGCAAAUAUAUCCUGAUGUGGGAUGGAAUUCUGAUUAAUUUUCCAUUUAGCUUUCUAAAGUUUCUGAUCAUCCCCAGAAUUCCACAAUUUACUUUGGCCGGUGUUUCUGUCUCCCUCUCUUCUUUGUGCUGUAGUUUCUGAUGUACAUAUAUAUAUGCAUAUACACUCAUAUACUAUUUUUCCUGAGGAGUAGAUAAGAACCGUGACCUGGUAAGGUCUUUGUUGCUGGUACAAAUUAAAACUUUGCUUUGCUCAAAUAUAUUCAGAUCUAAGGAUGGUCAGAUACUAAAACGAACAGUAGAACCCAUAUGUAUGAUAUCAGAUCAAUGGCCUGUAUAUGUGCAUCUAAAAAUUGGAGACAGCUCACAGAUAAACCACAUCCAACUUUUCUAGCUGGUUACUAUUUGUUCUGGAAAUGCAACCCGAAGUCUUGAUCAAAUAUUUCUCAUAUUUAUGCUCUGUUUCACUUAAAUGGUAUUACCCCAACAAGAAAGGUAAACAAUGUGCAGGAUUACAGGAAGGAAGGACUCAAAAUACAUCCCCUAGUAUGAAGUGAGCCAGAAAUACCUCACAAAAUAUGCUCAAAAAGCAGAAACAUUCAGAAAAGUUUAUGAAAUUAAACAAACCAAAAUGUGAGACCACAUCUGCUAAAUCUUCAAACUAGAAAUGUUUUCAGACCAGCAUGUACAGAUAGAUCCACCCCAGGAGUCUUGAAGUGAACGAGCUCUCUCACAACUAGAAAUAUUAAUUUUAUCACACUUUGGCAAUCUGAGAAAGUAUCAAACAGCUGGUGAUUGUCAGCAUGAUCCCAAUACGUUAGAAGAAUGAUGUAGAGAAUAACAGAUUGGCUAGUCUGAUAUCAAUACUGGCUGAAAUAAUAAACUGGGACUGUGUCGGGACUGUGUCAGCGAAGCACCCAAACCUAAAAACAUAAUGAAUGUCAGUUAGCAUUCCUAGAAAGCAGAUCUGGUUAUUUUGGUAGGAGUGUGUUCCUGGUUGAUAAUGGCAACUUUCUUGAGGUGGGAUACUGAAUUCUUCAACACAUCUGCCUUAGUACCACAUCAAAUUUUGAUUUUAAAAUGCUUAUACCAGCAACAUGAAACAGGACAGCUUAGAUAGAUUACUGGAUCACUGACAAAACACAGAAUACAGUUGCUACUGAGGGGACAUCAACUUUCUUGCUUCUAUUGGUAACACAUAAGGACUAAUUUGUGUUCCAACAAACUCUAUUAUUUUUAUUAACACUGAAGUUGGCAGUAAGGAGAGGCUGCUGCUGCAGUGCGAUCUGAGUCACCUGGUAAAAUGAUCACAAGCCAACACAGUAUCUUUAAUUUUAUACAAAUAUGCAGCAGUCAAUCCAGAACAUGGAUAAAAAUGAUACCUAAGAAUUAGGAGCUUCAUCUCUGUCCACGUGAUGCAGAGAAGCUCUUGAGUUACCUCAAAUGACGUAACUGCAGUUGUGUAAUGGUACUGUCUAAUAUGAUCCUUGGAAAAAUAAAAGGAGGAAGAAUUAUCAAACCAUCUUAUCCUUCUUAAUAGCAAUGGCAAGAGCAGUAUUAGAGUCUGGCAUCUGCAUUUGAGAAAAGAUACUGAAAUGCUAAAACCUCUUAAAGUGAAGGGAAGCAAUGGGACAAGGACAACAGCCCCUUCCACCCCCUCUCUGAUUACAGGUGUAAUUAAAUAUUGGGACAGGUGGUAGACUCAAUACGAUUUAUUCCAAUUGCCUUUCUGAAGGUGCUACACUGUAUGCCAGUCUGCAGGUUGUCUAGGAUAUGUAAACUCUUCAACAUAUAUAUGCAGAAUGUUAUAUCAAAUAGCAUCAGACUUAAGAAAAGGUUUUGAGUCUUCCUCCUCCCUAGCUUGUGAGGAUUGCUCUUCAUAAAGAUAAUGAAUAAAAUUGGAUAUGAUGGGAUCUGAUGUGACCAACACACCUGAAGGGACCAGGAAGGCCACAAUCACCAGUGUGCAUUGCCAAAUGUGUGUUUAGCUUGUCUGCUUCUUCUGAACCAUUCUGUGCUCUGCACAUGACAGCUCCUUUGAGCACAAAAAAUAAUUGUGGGAAAGUCCAGCUUAGACCCAGGGCUGCCUAGAUGGGACAGGCACAGGUGGUGUCUGGAGAAGGUGAAGGAACAGAGUAGUGUGGAGGAACUACAGACAUGGAAUCUUUGGAAACUUUUAUAUCACAUGUAGUCCCAAUGGAAUGUGUGAAAUGAUGAGAAUGGUAGGAAGCCAUUCACAGCCUGCAGGCCAUCUCCCAGGGCAAAUUUUAAAGCUAGAAUUUAGUGUUAGACAUCUAAAAGAUCAGCAUUAGUCAAAGCUAAAUUACCUGAUGCUCUGCUCUGUACAUUGCCAGGAGAUAGAUACCACCAGAAGGCAAUCCAUAUUGCUUUAAAUUAAGAAUGCAAAAAGGAUGGAUACCUCUUGGCCUUAUGGAAACCUAGGUGAGUUUAGACUGGCGGUCUAGUUUCUGUAUGGAUAAAGUCAAGUGAGAUGAACCCCAUGCUAAAUAUCUUCUCCAGAGCACAGAAUUAGUAGUGUUUCUCAAUGAAAUGGCUACAAAUACAUCUGCAUUAGCAAGCUAACUAAUUUUCUUCUCCCAAAACCCUGUUAGCUUGAAGCAGAUAUUCUCUACAGUUGGUUUUGGUUGCUUGCAAGGGGAAGGGGUCUGAUUAAGAACUGCACACCACACAGCAGCCUGGCCUGAAGUGAAGCCCUGCUGGGUGCAGCUGUGUAUCGCAAGAGGGGAGAGAGCCCACAGACUCAGUGUGAGUGGCACAAACAUGAGUGCUGACACUUCCCAAAACAUUCAAUCAAAUUCAUCUUGGCUUGGAACUAAAGAAGCCUCUUGUCCAUGUGCACUGACAAAUAAAUGUCGUAGGCCAUAAAGGUGCAGCAUGGCUUUUAUUUCAGUGAGGUCAAUGCAAUUUUACAGUAUUUACCUACCUGUAACAUAAUACAAUUGGUUUUUAGCCUUUAGAUACACUUCAUUUUGAAUCUAAGAUUCCAGUCGCCCUGAUUUAUUGAACUUACUGGGUAAUGGAACUUUGUUGAUACUUUAAACCAAAGUGAAAUGGAAGGCAAACUUGGAAAGCACUACCCCAGAUGAGAUUUGGCAAGGAAUCAAUAUUUUACAGUUUAAAUAUGUAUUAAUCCAUGGCAGAACUAAACCAUUUUAACUUUUUAUACAGACAGUAUUUUACCCUUGUGAAACUGUAUAAAAAGUGUAUAAAAAGUGCGUAUUAUGGAGUUAUUUUGCUGAAUGUUAUUUAUGAUACAGUUAUCUCGCUGGGGAGAAGCAAGAGCUAGUGAUAUCUGCCCAGGGAAAAAUUAUUGGGUGGUAAUUUCAAAAAAGCUUGAAAGAUUUAGACAGUCAAUUCCUAGUGAAUUGGGAGUUAUGACGGGAGUUAUGGCUUUUUAUCAUAUAAGCAGUUUUGAAAAUGCAGCUCCUCCUUCCCUCUUUAUCUUUAAUUGAGUUCAUUUGUCUUUCAUUUACUUAUUGUGACAUUCUCAUGCAAUUUGAAGUGCCUUCAGAAAUAAUAACAGGCAAAAGACAUACAUACAGUCUUCUGCUGUCAGAGGUACUGCAUUGUGGACUAGAGGGGCUGAUGACUGCCUCUGUAAUUUACUCCAUUGUUGAACUUACAAAGGAAGCAGCACUUUCAUGUUAUGGGCCAUGAGGUGCAGAAGCGGAGGUAAUAGAGAAUGUCACUGACAGAAGCUGGAGUGUGAGACAGCGGCACUAGCAACUAAGCAAAACCACUUCCGAGCUCCUUCCUAGACUGUGUUCUAAGCACUUGCUUGGUAAAAAACAACCAAAAUUACUCUUACUCUCUAAAGGGCUUUUGUAAACAACAAAAAAAUCCAAACCAGAAAUGCUCUUAAUACCUGAAAGGCUUUUGUAACGGAGCCAAUAAAAAUGUAACCAAAAAUAUUUCAGUGGUACUUUCUCUGGUACCUCUUAUUUUAACAAUGCUUAUAGUAUUGAUAAAAUGAUAAAUGAUGUGAUUAUAUCUCGAGGAUAACUGAAACUGAACACAGAUCUUUUCUGUGUUUUUUUAACCAUUCUGCUUUGAACCAGCCAUUUUAAUUCAAUUUCCUUUUAGUCAAGAGCUUCAAAAUCAGAAGUUUACAAAUAACUGCAGCAUAUCCUUUUUUUUUUACUUCUUUUGGACAAUCCAGAACAAGCAUCCAUAAUGUGUUGCUAACACAGACAAAAAAAGAGUUUUUAAGUAAGAAAAAUCAAGACUAUAUAACUGCGGCAUGGAGAAACAGCUGAUAUAAUUUAAAGUUCAGUCCUAGUUCAAAUUAGAACCUAAAAUAAAAGAAAAAAACCUAGACAUUUUUAAGGCAAGGUGAUAAACAGAUAAACCAGGCACCAGAGAAAUGCAUAACUCACAGACAUAUACGUAAGUUCAUUGUAGACACUGAUUUUUCUGCAGUGCUGAAACGUGAGCCUGGCUUACUGUAUAUGUUUAAUCUUUAACUUUCCCUGAGAAAACAACUUUCCUCUUUUGGACACCUUUACUAAGGACCCAUUUUCACACUGACUCUAUAAAAUUAUCUACAUUAUUAUUUAGCAUUUAUAUAAUAGCAGUAUGGUCAUAUAAGAUGUAGGAAAAUGGAUAUACAGCGUAUCUGGAAAGAAAACAAAUAGUUCCCUAAAGCAGGUGGUGAGGCUCGUAUCUUACUCUUUAUAAUAGACAUGAGGUUUAAAAAAAAAGUCAGAAGUCUGUGCAUAUGCGAGAGGUAGGAGUAGCUGAGACAAGCAAUGAUCAUUGCUAUUCCUAUUUUACAGGUGAAAAGCUGAGGCUGAAAAAUGGACUUGUCCAAAAUAAUAGAGACAGAAGUGACAGAAUAGAGUUGAGAGCUUACCUGUCUAAAUCCUAAUCCAAGUCACUCCUAAAAUUAGAGUGAAGCAUUUCUGUAAGAAAUUGUGACAGUAAUUAAUGUGCAUAAGUCUGAAAAGAUCUAAAGUUAUAAAAAAAAAAAAAA
rnacentral:lncRNA from 1 species